rnacentral:rRNA from 1 species
AGGGGGGCGGGUUGAUUAUUGGGCCUAAAGCAUCCGUAGCCGGUUCUGUAAGUUUCCGGUUAAAUCCACUAGCUCAACUAAUGGGCUGCCGGAAAUACUGCAGAACUAGGGAGUGGGAGAGGUAGACGGCACUCGGGAGGAAGGGGUAAAAUCCUUUGAUCUAUUGAUGACCACCUGUGGCGAAGGCGGUCUACCAGAACACGUUCGACGGUGAGGGAUGAAAGCUGGGGGAGCAAACCGGAUUAGAUACCCGGGUAGUCCCAGCUGUAAACGAUGCAAACUCGGUGAUGCAUUGGCUUGUGGCCAGUGCAGUGCCGCAGGGAAGCCGUUAAGUUUGCCGCCUGGGAAGUACGUACGCAAGUAUGAAACUUAAAGGAAUUGGCGGGGGAGCAC